GGUGAACGCUGGCGGCGUGCUUAACACAUGCAAGUCGAACGAUGAACCCGGAGCUUGCUCCGGUGGAUUAGUGGCGAACGGGUGAGUAACACGUGAGUAACCUGCCCUUGACUCUGGGUUAACUGAGGGAAACUGUAGCUAAUACCGGAUACGACCUUCGGCGGCAUCGCCAGGGGGUGGAAAGAAUUUGGGUCAAGGAUGGACUCGCGGCCUAACAGCUAGUAGGUGAGGUAACGGAUCACCAAGGCGACGAUGGGUAGCCGGCCUGAGAGGGUGACCGGCCGCACUGGGGCUGAGACACGGCCCAGACUCCUACGGGAGGCAGCAGUGGGGAAUAUUGCACAAUGGGCGCAAGCCUGAUGCAGCAACGCCGCGUGAGGUAUUACGGCCUUCGGGUUGUAAACCUCUUUUAGUAGGGAAGAAGCGAAAGUGACGGUACCUGCAGAAAAAGCACCGGCUAACUACGUGCCAGCCGCCGCAGUAA
rnacentral:rRNA from 1 species